AGUGAACGCUGGCGGUAGGCCUAACACAUGCAAGUCGAACGGCAGCACAGUAAGAGCUUGCUCUUACGGGUGGCGAGUGGCGGACGGGUGAGGAAUACAUCGGAAUCUACUUUUUCGUGGGGGAUAACGUAGGGAAACUUACGCUAAUACCGCAUACGACCUACGGGUGAAAGCAGGGGAUCUUCGGACCUUGCGCGAUUGAAUGAGCCGAUGUCGGAUUAGCUAGUUGGCGGGGUAAAGGCCCACCAAGGCGACGAUCCGUAGCUGGUCUGAGAGGAUGAUCAGCACCACGGGAACUGAGAACCGGGCCCGACCCCCACGGGGGGCAGCAGGGGGAAAUUUUGGAAAAGGGGGGAAACCCUGACCCACCCAUCCCGGGGGGGGAAAAAAGGCCUUCGGUUUGUAAAGCCUUUUUGUUGGGAAAAAAAAGAAGCAGGUUAAGACCCCGCUGUUCUGAGGGGCCCCAAAGAAUAAGCACCGGCUAAUUGCGG
rnacentral:rRNA from 1 species